rnacentral:rRNA from 1 species
UUUUUUAAUUGAAAGCUUGUAUGAAUGGUUGAAUGAGAAAUUUUCUGUUUCAUAAAAAUUUUAUUAGAAUUUUAUUUUUUAGUUAAAAAGCUAAAAUAUAUUUAUAGGACGAGAAGACCCUAUAAAGUUUUAUAUAAUAUUGAUUUAUUUUAUUUUUUUAUAAAUUUUAAAAUUUUAUUUUAAUUUAUAUUUUAUUGGGGUGAUAUUAAAAUUUAAUAAACUUUUAUUAAUUUAUUACAUUGAUAUAUGAUUUUAUUUGAUCCAAUUAUAUUGAUUAAAAAAUUAAAUUACUUUAGGGAUAACAGCGUAAUAUUUUUUA